GUAUCGUGUUCUUCUUGGGAAUGUUCUCCAAGGUUUCCUCAAAACAUCAAACCCCAUCCCUUUCUUUAUGCCUAUCUCCAAUCUAGGAAAAGUUCAAGAAACCCUAAAAUCUAGCAUCUCCGAGAUGUUACGAGGAUCGACGUCGAUAUACCCUCCGCCUUGCGAUUUCCCGAUUGUUUUCAUUGAGAAGGUCAUCCGGAUCGACGUCGAUAUACCCUUCGCGGCUUCCGAUUUCCAGAUUGUUUUCAUUGAGAAGGUCAUCCAAAUGUUGGAAGAGAGAAGCAGUAAUUUGUUUUAUGAUUACUGCUAGUCACUUAACGUGCCACUGCUGGAAAAUUUUGGACCAAGAAUACCAGUGCUACAUAAUUGAGUCUGAAUGGGCAUCCAUCAUGAAAUGCAGAAUUUUCAAGAGUGGCAUUCCCUCAAUCAAUGAAUCUGCUCACAUCCUUAAUUCUGCAAAAACAAGGUGCUCAUUGGGAAAUUAUGAUGGACAACAGAACUGAGAGGUGGCUAGGUUGCAGAGAAGGGUGUGAGGAACGAUAAUGGAGAGAGCAUGGGAAGAGCCUUGGAGCAUUACAUGGGAAGAGCAUAUGCACACAUGCAGCUUCAUUUGACUUGCAAUCUGGUAAUCUGACUGCUUGCGUAGCUGGAGCAAAACAACUUGACCUUUCCAUUGCCGUUCAUCUGCAGGAAAAUAAUCCCACUUGGACUGAAAGUUUCACUAGUCUUUGAGAAGGUACCAAAAUGCCUUUUCUGGAGUUUGUAAUGCUGAUGCUUUUUUAGUUGUAUGUCUUACUUUUCUUGCUGAAAGGAUGAGUUUUUUUGUACAUUGUGUUUAUAGAUUUACCAACCCUUAAGGAUUAACAAUGUAUUUUGUUUCAUUCAAAUACUGCCUAGUUUUGGAAGACAAAAUCAAAGAAACUGCUUCAUUUUUCCAUUCUUUUAACAUGUUUCUUACUGAUACAUCAGCAUUUGUAUUGUUGAAUUUAGAAUGUGGUCUAUUAUUCCUUUAAUUUGAUAGCAGAAACAAUGGCUGUUAUUUUUCCCACUGUAGCCCUGGGAUGCAGUUUCCAUGAACAAAAUAAUGACUGUCAUAGCAAUUGUUAUCAGCCAUUAUAAUGGAAAAUAUUGGUAAAAUAGGAACACAAUUUCACAACUCAAAAUAAAUAGUAUAUUUUAACUGACAUGAGAUUUAAAUAAUUUUUUUUGUCCAGGUGAACAGUGAAAAUUUCAGGUAACAGCUGUUGUUCCCAUUUUAUAACUGAUGUUAUAGCAGGGUGAUGGCCAAGUACUGGUCAUUAUUUGAAAACUUGCUAUGUAUAUACAAAAUGCAGUGGGAGGCUCCAAUACUGAUGUUGUGUCCAUUUUAGUGUUCUAACAGCUGUGAUUUUAAACCUUGUGUGAAGAGGACUUCUUCUUGAGCAUUGCCACCUGCUUUUCUCAGGCAAUGCCAGACAUGUCAAGAUCCACAUUGAAUCCAAAUUUAAACUAUUAAAAACAUUGUUUAUUAUUUAGCCCAUGUGAUAGGCUUAUUUUAGUGGGUCCAUGUGGCUCACUAUGAUUUUGCAUUUGAUGCGAUCCACCAAAACCAAAAAUGAAUUCUCAUAGCCGAUUUCCAGUGCCUUAUGUUUUCACAUCUUAUAAUGUUUGUAUGUGAGGCAUCAAGAGCGGUUCUUUGCUGGUCUUUUGGCUCAGGAUUCACAAUGGAAGAAUUCAGAACAUUGGGUGUUCAAUCCAUCAAAUUAACUUCAGAGAUAUUACCCCCCGAAUCUCAUAUGCCCUGGAAUUUAACCUGUAUGUCAUUUCUUGUUCAUCACUUUUAUCUUUUCCAGCUGCAUUAUGUUCUUCAGCAUUUUUAGAGGUAUCAUUUUCUAUAUUGCUUCUAAAAGUUGCUGUCAUUAGUUGAGGGACUUUUUCUGUUAGGUUGGGGAACCCUUCUGUUGUACUUCUUGAUCAAGUAUUGGCCAGUGUUGUUCCUAGUGGUCCAUUUUAUUAUUCGUUUAAUUCCUCUUACAGUGAUCAUUAUCUCUGGGGAUAAAAGAAAGGGCUUAGCAAUGUUAUUGGUAGUUUACAAUAUAUAGAACACAUUCAUAUUUGAGUUUGUUGACUGUGGGAAGCAUAUGGUAGGAUGAUUAUUGAGGGAUAAGUAUUGUUACCGCCACUUAAAAUUUAAAUAUUCUUGUUGUUAUGCUAUGUAUUGAUUAUUCCAUUUUUACAUAAUAACAAUGUAGGGGUAACAUGAUAACAAAGGGCAGUGCCGCAGUAGUGUUCUGUAUCUCCCCUCCCGUCGACCUUCUUCCUAGGCCUCCUCUACUUCACCACCUUCCUCCCUCUUAUGUUGCAAGCCAUUAGUGGAGAUGGUGGUGGAUCAGGUCUUUCAUCAUGAGCUCUGUAACUCUACGAUUGGUGAGACUAAGAGCUAGAUCAGAUGUAAAUGCUAUUAGGCUAUCAUGAAUGCUUUUAUCAUUUUGAUGCUUUUUUCGGAGAUCUUGUAUCGUGAUUGAAGCAAGUUCCAUUGGGUUAGGGUUCACAUAUGAUGAGUUCCCUAAUAUAUAAUGGGGAAUGCAAUAGAUGCCACU